GGAGAGGUGGCCGAGUGGUCGAAGGCGCUCCCCUGCUAAGGGAGUGUGCUAGAGAUAGUACCGAGGGUUCGAAUCCCUUCCUCUCCGCCA
rnacentral:tRNA from 1 species